AUAGGGGAGCCGGAGGGAAACCGAGUCUUAAUUGGGCGUUAAGUUGCAGGGUAUAGACCCGAAACCCGGUGAUCUAGCCAUGGGCAGGUUGAAGGUUGGGUAACACUAACUGGAGGACCGAACCGACUAAUGUUGAAAAAUUAGCGGAUGACCUGUGGCUGGGGGUGAAAGGCCAAUCAAACCGGGAGAUAGCUGGUUCUCCCCGAAAGCUAUUUAGGUAGCGCCUCGUGAAUUCAUCUCCGGGGGUAGAGCACUGUUUCGGCUAGGGGGCCAUCCCGGCUUACCAACCCGAUGCAAACUGCGAAUACCGGAGAAUGUUAUCACGGGAGACACACGGCGGGUGCUAACGUCCGUCGUGAAGAGGGAAACAACCCAGACCGCCAGCUAAGGUCCCAAAGUCAUGGUUAAGUGGGAAACGAUGUGGGAAGGCCCAGACAGCCAGGAUGUUGGCUUAGAAGCAGCCAUCAUUUAAAGAAAGCGUAAUAGCUCACUGGUCGAGUCGGCCUGCGCGGAAGAUGUAACGGGGCUAAACCAUGCACCGAAGCUGCGGCAGCGAACGUAUCACCCAAGACAACUUUACGGAGUUGACGAUUGACGGAGCGAAGCGACGUCAAAGCGUUCAUUAAAGUCGAGUUGGCUUAGGGAUACGUUCGUUGGGUAGGGGAGCGUUCUGUAAGCCUGUGAAGGUGUGUCGUGAGGCAUGCUGGAGGUAUCAGAAGUGCGAAUGCUGACAUAAGUAACGAUAAAGCGGGUGAAAAGCCCGCUCGCCGGAAGACCAAGGGUUCCUGUCCAACGUUAAUCGGGGCAGGGUGAGUCGACCCCUAAGGCGAGGCCGAAAGGCGUAGUCGAUGGGAAACGGGUUAAUAUUCCCGUACUUGGUGUUACUGCGAAGGGGGGACGGAGAAGGCUAUGUUGGCCGGGCGACGGUUGUCCCGGUUUAAGCGUGUAGGUGUGUGUUCCAGGUAAAUCCGGUUCACUUUAACACUGAGGCGUGACGACGAGGCACUACGGUGCUGAAGCAACAAAUGCCCUGCUUCCAGGAAAAGCCUCUAAGCAUCAGGUAACAUCAAAUCGUACCCCAAACCGACACAGGUGGUCAGGUAGAGAAUACCAAGGCGCUUGAGAGAACUCGGGUGAAGGAACUAGGCAAAAUGGUGCCGUAACUUCGGGAGAAGGCACGCUGACACGUAGGUGAAGUGAUUUACUCAUGGAGCUGAAGUCAGUCGAAGAUACCAGCUGGCUGCAACUGUUUAUUAAAAACACAGCACUGUGCAAACACGAAAGUGGACGUAUACGGUGUGACGCCUGCCCGGUGCCGGAAGGUUAAUUGAUGGGGUCAGCGUAAGCGAAGCUCCUGAUCGAAGCCCCGGUAAACGGCGGCCGUAACUAUAACGGUCCUAAGGUAGCGAAAUUCCUUGUCGGGUAAGUUCCGACCUGCACGAAUGGCGUAAUGAUGGCCAGGCUGUCUCCACCCGAGACUCAGUGAAAUUGAACUCGCUGUGAAGAUGCAGUGUACCCGCGGCAAGACGGAAAGACCCCGUGAACCUUUACUAUAGCUUGACACUGAACAUUGAGCCUUGAUGUGUAGGAUAGGUGGGAGGCUUUGAAGUGUGGACGCCAGUCUGCAUGGAGCCGACCUUGAAAUACCACCCUUUAAUGUUUGAUGUUCUAACGUGGACCCGUAAUCCGGGUUGCGGACAGUGUCUGGUGGGUAGUUUGACUGGGGCGGUCUCCUCCUAAAGAGUAACGGAGGAGCACGAAGGUUGGCUAAUCCUGGUCGGACAUCAGGAGGUUAGUGCAAUGGCAUAAGCCAGCUUGACUGCGAGCGUGACGGCGCGAGCAGGUGCGAAAGCAGGUCAUAGUGAUCCGGUGGUUCUGAAUGGAAGGGCCAUCGCUCAACGGAUAAAAGGUACUCCGGGGAUAACAGGCUGAUACCGCCCAAGAGUUCAUAUCGACGGCGGUGUUUGGCACCUCGAUGUCGGCUCAUCACAUCCUGGGGCUGAAGUAGGUCCCAAGGGUAUGGCUGUUCGCCAUUUAAAGUGGUACGCGAGCUGGGUUUAGAACGUCGUGAGACAGUUCGGUCCCUAUCUGCCGUGGGCGCUGGAGAACUGAGGGGGGCUGCUCCUAGUACGAGAGGACCGGAGUGGACGCAUCACUGGUGUUCGGGUUGUCAUGCCAAUGGCACUGCCCGGUAGCUAAAUGCGGAAGAGAUAAGUGCUGAAAGCAUCUAAGCACGAAACUUGCCCCGAGAUGAGUUCUCCCUGAGACUUAGAGUCUCCUGAAGGAACGUUGAAGACGACGACGUUGAUAGGCCGGGUGUGUAAGCGCAGCGAUGCGUUGAGCUAACCGGUACUAAUGAACCGUGAGGCUUAACCUUACAACGCCGAAG
rnacentral:rRNA from 1 species